AGUGAACGCUGGCGGCGUGCUUAACACAUGCAAGUCGAACGAGAACGGGCUAUAGUUUGCUAUAGUUGUCAGCUAAGUGGCGCACGGGUGAGUAAUGUAUAGGUAAUAUGCCUCUUACUAAGGGAUAACAAAUGGAAACGUUUGCUAAUACCUUAUACUCCUUAUUAACAGAAGUUAAUAAGGGAAAGAUUUAUUGGUAAGAGAUUAGCCUGUAUUGUAUCAGUUAGUUGGUGGGGUAAUGGCUUACCAAGACUAUGACACAUAACUGGUUUGAGAGGAUGAUCAGUCACACUGGAACUGAGACACGGUCCAGACUCCUACGGGAGGCAGCAGUGGGGAACAUUGCACAAUGGACGAAAGUCUGAUGCAGCAACGCCGCGUGGAGGAUGACACAUUUCGGUGCGUAAACUCCUUUUAUAUGAGAAGAUAAUGACGGUAUUAUAUGAAUAAGCACCGGCUAACUCCGUGCCAGCAGCCGCCGUAA
rnacentral:rRNA from 1 species